UUCUCGUUAACUGUUGAAUAUUAAUUGGACACUCUUCCUAAUUACGUGUUGAACGUCGAUUACCCGAACUAAACUCGUUCGGAUAAGCGAUUUUUCGGAUAAACAACGUUUCGUAAAACCGGCGUGUCUGGAUUAAUCGACGUUUUACUGUAGUUGUAUCCAAUUUUGUGAAUCAGUCUCGACAGAGAAUAUUUCACGCGGUAAUGAAGGUCAGGGAGGAAAAUGAGGAGAAAAGCUGGAGUAACUUGCAACAAAACAAGUAUAGUAAAAACCUGCGGUUGCUUCUAUAAUAAUCCGUGUGAAAUGUGAACGUAAAAAAGUAGCAUAACGAAAGCGAGAUACAAGGAGGAUAAAUGAAAAACAAAGAGGAACACGAAAAUAACUGUAAAUGGGAUCAAAUUAGGAUUCGGCUAAUGAAACGUGAGAAGCACUCUUAUGGUUGAUCUUCUCUACUGAAGUACGUAACGCGACGCAAAUUGAUGGAGGAGCCAAGUGAUCCAGAUCAGUAGUGGGACUAACAGGUAGGCCUAACUGGAUUAUAAUUGGUACACGUGAUUCCCCAUUUUUACGGUCUGCUCCUUCCACUGAUUAAAACCGCACUUCUAUAGCACGCUUUAUCAUCGCUCCGCAUCUUCUUCCCUCCACGCUCGAAGUAGCGUUAUCGGAUCGGUGAUCGGAUAUCCGAGUGCAUAAGCGUUGUGAUGUCGACGUCGACGGUUCUGUUCUUCGGAACGAGUAGACGAUGCGGUGUUGGAGGGAGUGAACUUCUGUACAUGUUCAAGUAUUUAUUGUGAUAAAGUGUUCAUGUCGACAAAGUUCCAAGAGUGCCUUGUUUGCGGAUCGGUUGCUCGGAGGUUGCAAGUUUUUGAAAAGCCUGCCGUCGCUCGCAGUUGGGUAAUGGAAUGUCAUGUUCAACCUGUGCAUAGAAGGAACCAGUUCGCAAACAGAUUUUAAAAAGGAAUUCAAGCUAUCUGUGGAAACGAGCAUUUCGAAAUACCUACUGUCAAAUACAAUUGCGAAGGUAAUGAAUCUUCUUUUAUAAAUAUAAUUAAUUGAAUCAACAGACUGUCAUCAAUAUACGUUUAAUUUCCGA